rnacentral:rRNA from 1 species
AUCCCUUGAUCCUGGGGACGGUUGCUGCUAUUGGGAUUCGUUAGCCAUGCAAGUCACGGGGACGCAGGUCACCGGCGUACUGCUCAAUAACACGUCAAUAAUCUGCCUUUAGGUCUGGAAUAGCCUUGGGAAACUGAGGGUAAUACCGGAUAGGGAUGCAAUGCUGGGAUGCAUGCUUUUUUAAAAGUAAUGCCUAAAGAUGAGUUGGCGGCUGAUUAGGUCGUUGGCGGGGUAAAGGCCCACCAAGCCUCGGAUCAGUAGGGGCCUUGAGAGAGGUUGCCCUGAGAAGGAUACUGAGAUACCUAUCCUAGCCCUACGGGGUGCAGCAGGCACGAAGUCUUUGCACUGCACGAAAGUGUGACAAGGGAAUCCCAAGUGCUUAUACAUCUGUAUAGGCUUUUUUCAAGAUUAAAACUCUUGGAGAAUAAGUGGUGGGCAAGACGGGUGCCAGCCGCCGCGGUAACACCUGCCCCACUAGUGGCAAUCACGUUUAUUGGGCCUAAAGCGUCCGUAGCAGGCGAAGUAAAUCUUUUGUGAAAUUGUUUUGCUUAACAUAACAACGUGCAGGAGACACUGCUUUGCUUGAGACCAGGAAGAGUUGGAAGUAUGCCAGGGGGAGCGGUAAAAUGUUAUAAUCCCUGGUAGACUACCUGUGGCGAAGGCGUCCAACUAGAAUGGCUCUGACCGUGAGGGACGAAAGCCAGGGGAGCGAUCCGGAUUAGAUACCCGAGUAGUCCUGGCCGUAAACGCUGCGAGUUAGGUGUUGCACACUCUUUUAUGAUUGUGCAGUGUCGAAGCGAAGGCGCUAAACUCGCCGCCUGGGAAGUAUGGUCGCAAGGCUGAAACUUAAAGGAAUUGGCGGGGGAGCACUACCAGGGGUGCGGCGUGCGGUUUAAUCGAAUUCAACACCGAGAAUCUUACCACGACCGACAGCUGGAUGAAAGUCAGGUUAAAGGCCUUACUUGACUAGCUGAGAGGUAGUGCAUGGCCGCCGUCAGCUCGUGCCGUAAGGUGUCCUGUUAAGUCAGGCAACGAGCAAGACCUAUACCUUCAAUUGCUACCGGGGAAUUUAUUCUGACCGAGCACAUUGAAGGGACUGCAACGGAAACGUUGAGGAAGGUGUAGGCAACGGUAGGUCUGUAUGCUCCGAAUGCCGUGGGCUACACGCGCGCAACAAUGGUAGGGACAAUGGGAUACGACUCCGAAAGGAGAAGUUUAACCUCGAAACCCUAUCUUAGUCCAGAUUGAGGGAUGUAAUUGCCCUCAUGACGUUGGAAUCCCUAGUAAUCAGAAUUUAUCAGAUUCUGGCGAAUAUGUCCCUGCUCCUUGCACACACCGCCCGUCAAACCACCCGAGUAGGGUUUAGAUGAGAAUCUGGACACACGUGCCAAAUUCGAAUCUAAGCUUUGUGAGGAGGGUUAAGUCGUCACAAGGUA